GAAUCUGGCAGAGGAUCGACCGACGGUGGACUUCGGAUGGCGUUGGGGAGGUUCGUCUGCUGGAGAAAUCUGGGGGAUCUUGUGAAAGUCCGGAUGGUGUUGUUGAAGUUCGACUGACGUUAUUAAAGGUUGAUGGCUGGAGAGGUCCGGCAGACACCGGAGGCGGUCGACCGUUGUAGAAAUUCAGCUACUGGAGUCCGUCUGUUGUAGAAGUUCGUCCGAAAUCCAUCCGUUAUGGAAGUUCAGAUGGAGUCCGGUUCUUGUAGAAGGCUGAAAGGAGACCACUUAUUGUACAAGCUCGGUCGAAGAUCGGUUGUCAUGGGAGCUCGGAGUAGUGACCUGACCGAUGGAGCCUGUCCCAUUGUAGAAGCUCGUCUGGGAUCCGUCCACUGUAGGAGCUCGGCUGAAGUCUGUUUGUAAUAGAAGUUCGGAAGAAAUUUGUUUACAGUAGAAGCUAGGAUGAAAUUCACUUACAGUAGAGAUCCGAAGUAGACCGCUCGUAGUAGA
rnacentral:lncRNA from 1 species